UUCUGCUAACUUCCUGAUCACAUAUUAGUAGAAAAUCUGAUAUUAUAUUCUGCAAAAUUGUCAUCACGUUUCUACACAACAAGCAAUUAAUGUAAGCCAGUCGAUAAUUAAGUAUUAGGAAAAAGGAGCACAAAGAAAAUUUUGAACUCAAAAGGAUCACAUUCUGCGGUCGAGAAGUUUGAGUAAUCAAUUUAUUUAAUUAGAGAAUUAGAUAUAACAAUAUUUUGUUCUCUCUGACAUUAGGCCAGUUAUAAUUAAGAAAGAAGACUUUUCUUUCAGCUACCUACAAGUUAGAUUUUUAUAAUAUGGUCUUGCAUUUGUAAAUUACAAGCUAUUAGUCUCAUUUACACACGCUACACACUAAGCACGAUAAGUUUAUACGCAAUCUUUUUUGCCGGAUACAAUAUUGCAGUAUUAAUUACGGUUGUAUUAUCGUCACAAAUUGGUACCACAAAAAUAGUUCAAUCAAAAUCACUUAUUGUCUUUUUAAAUCUGCUUUCUUUAAAAGUGUCUAUUUAAUAAGUUUGCUUUCAACUUUUUGUUUUGUUGUUUAUUUUAAGUACCGAUCAGUCAAUGCAAAAAAAAAAAAAAAAAAAAAAAAAAAAAAAAAAAAGUUUUGUAGCGUGUCUCUGUGUCAUUAAUGUUACACCUGACAAUUUUCUAAAAUACAUAGGAGUACAAAAAAUGGAACAGAAAAUGUCUUGAUUUGAAGAAGAAAAAACGGCAUUAUACUAUACAGGAAAAA